CUCUUAUGUUCUGCCCUCAGCUAACAUCUCGUGUACUCUAGUAAGCAGUGAGCCUGUUUUUGCGGUAUAUAUUUCAGGAAAAAAAACAAAACCAACAAAACUAAAGAUGUAAAAACAAACAUUUGAUGGCUAAAGAACAGUAUUGUGAAACUAACUAUCAGGAGAGCCUGAUUAAUACAUCUGUGAUCCAGAGGAUAGAUUUCAGUAUUGAGGUUUUCAACAAAUACAAAAUCCAACCCAUUUACCAAUUGUAAUUCAGAAGUUGUGCAGCCGUUAUUGAUCCUGAAAGCCUUUUAAAAGAAGAAUGCAUAACAGGGAAUGUGAGUAAAAGAACCCAUAUUUGAGAUUUGUGAGAACCAACAUACGGGUAGGAUGCCUUUUUAGUUAUUAGCAACUUUAUGCAAACAAUUUGCAAGAUAUGUAUUUGUGCUAUUCUUGACUGAACAUAGAAAGUCACUUACAGCAUACAUUUAUCUCUAAUACUAAAACUAAAACAUUUACUUUCCAACUCAGUUAAUAUAUGAAACCAAGACCAUGGGUUUUGGCUGUCGGUGCUUUAGAACAAAGAUAUUGUAUGAUGAAAUUGUGUACGCUAUUUUUUGAAGCUUGUGAAACUAUCUGUAAAUCAGUCUGAAAUCAUGUAAAACCAAUAGUUCUGAGGUAGAGCGUCUGCCUACUGAAGUCGAAAGUCUAGAGUUCGAGUCAAAUCAGAGAAAUGUUCUUUGUAGUCCGAUGUGGAUGUGGAUGUGGAUAUAAUGAAUCAAUAUAUUGUGAAUUGGACGCAUUAGAAUAUUAUUACAAAUGGAAAUAGGUUUCCCUCAAAAGAAAUGGAAAAAUAGUUAAUGUAUAGGCAAGACUUGUGGCUCUAUGG